rnacentral:lncRNA from 1 species
GCCUCGCCCGCGGCCGCCGGGUUGCGUCCGCACUUCUGCGCGCUGGCCCCUCCCUUGCUCCUCUCCCUAGCAGUCUCCAGGGUUUUACCGGGAGGACCUAGGCAACGGCCUGAGACUCCGAGGACAUUUUUAAAGAUUGGAAUGAUCUCGUUCUUGAAACCUAGGUGGGAUACGAUCAUUUACCAGACUCUAUGUUGAAGAUGCCUGGACUAACCUACUGAAGAUACGUGGUUUUACCAACAGCCAGCACCAAUAGGAAGAUAUGAAUGAAGCCAUCUGAGACCAGCCAUCUGGCAGCCAAACUGCCAACUGACUGCAAAUGCAUGAAUGAUCCCACUGACACCACGUAGAGCACAAAUGAGUUGCCUCCACUGAGCCCAGCCCAAAUUGUUAUCCUAUAAAAUCAUAAAAACAUAAACAGUUGUUUUAAGUCACUAAGUUUUGGAUAGUUUGUUAUACAACAAAAGCUAGCUGAAACAAAUGUAUUAGCUAGAGCAGCUGUGAAUGGCACUAUUUGCUUAGUUGAUUGGCUGAAAUUUGGACUCACUGGUAGGUUACAUUUAAUGGUGUUGAGUUGCCAGAAUUUCUCUGGAAUAAUGUAUAGGAAGGAUUCUAAUGGCCUAAGCCAUUAGAAUCUCUAAGGAGAUAGAAAUAAAGGAGUGAUUUAUUAUAUGUAA